CCUGGGCCGCGCCGGCUGGCUCAUCGGUACUCAGGUGGAGUUCCAUCCCUGGCCCGCAGUCCGCACAAUCGAUAAUUUCACCGAUAUUAACAGCUGUUUAUAAGAGAAGAAACGCAUCACUAACAGAAAAACAAAACAGCUGCCGCGCAAUUGAAAAUUGCGCAAAACAAAAGGAAAUCAAAACAAACUAUUGACGACGGGCCACAGCUGGACCCCGGCGUACCCACCCUGCCUGAGAUGGCCACAUCGGCGCCAUCUCCCUUGCGUUGGCCACCAUCAGUGGCCGCUCCUCAUCCGGCGUAGUGCUGUGGAAUUCCCUCCCUCCAUGCUGAGAAACUUACACAACCAUGUUCAUCAUAACAUACAAAUAUUUGGACUUUAAAACGGCAAAGGAACAAGAUUCAUAAACCACGCAGUACGACGAGCGAAACCAACAUGUAGCCGCAACGGCGUAAAGGACAACUUUUAUUAUAUGUAACACCUUCAGGAGAUGGGUAUGUUUGCAUUUAUCAAUUUACAUACACAUGUUCGUAUGCUUUAAUAUAAAUAUCUUUAAUUACGUCGCUUAAACAUCUACCUUGACCUACCUAAGAGCUCUUGGGAUUGGUAAAGGGGCGAUAUGA